GACGAACGCUGGCGGCGUGCUUAACACAUGCAAGUCGAACGGAAAGGCCCUGCUUUUGUGGGGUGCUCGAGUGGCGAACGGGUGAGUAACACGUGAGUAACCUGCCCUUGACUUUGGGAUAACUUCAGGAAACUGGGGCUAAUACCGGAUAGGAGCUCCUGCUGCAUGGUGGGGGUUGGAAAGUUUCGGCGGUUGGGGAUGGACUCGCGGCUUAUCGGCUUGUUGGUGGGGUAGUGGCUUACCAAGUCUUUGACGGGUAGCCGGCCUGAGAGGGUGACCGGCCACAUGGGGACUGAGGUACGGCGCAGACUCGAACGGGAGGCAGCAGUGGAAAGUAUUGCACAAUGGGUGGGAGCCUGAUGCGGAAGCGCCGCGUGCGUGAUAACGGCCUUCGGGUUGUAAACCGCUUUCGCCUGUGACGAAGCGUGAGUGACGGUAAUGGGUAAAGAAGCACCGGCUAACUACGUG
rnacentral:rRNA from 1 species